rnacentral:rRNA from 1 species
UACGGGGGGAGCAAGCGUUGUUCGGAUUUACUGGGCGUAAAGGGCGCGUAGGCGGCCACCGCAAGUCAAUUGUGAAAUCUCCGGGCUUAACCCGGAAAGGUCAACUGAUACUGCGGGGCUAGAGUGCGGAAGGGGCAACUGGAAUUCUCGGUGUAGCGGUGAAAUGCGUAGAUAUCGAGAGGAACACCUGCGGCGAAGGCGGGUUGCUGGGCAUUAACUGACGCUGAGGAGCGAAAGCAUGGGGAGCGAACAGG